CUGCAGCCAGUUAAGUUGAUCGAGCUCUUUUCCUCAUGGAGGCUUGGUGUGCAAUGACUGCAAACAGCAGGUUCCUUGGUAGUGUACGCAGCCUGUUUCUUGUAUGGGUUGCCUCUAAGGGUCCUUGGAGAUAGCC
rnacentral:snoRNA from 3 species